UACGGAGGGUGCGAGCGUUGUCCGGAAUCACUGGGCGUAAAGGGCGCGUAGGCGGCUGGGGAAGUCGGCGGUGAAAGCCCGGAGCUCAACUCCGGGUCGGCCGUCGAGACUCCUCGGCUCGAGCUCACUAGAGGCAGAUGGAAUUCCGGGUGUAGCGGUGGAAUGCGUAGAGAUCCGGAAGAACACCAGUGGCGAAGGCGGUUGCCUGGGGGCUUUGCUGACGCUGAUGCGCGAAAGCGUGGGGAGCGAGUCCGG
rnacentral:rRNA from 1 species